rnacentral:rRNA from 1 species
GUCGUAACAAGGUUUCCGUAGGUGAACCUGCGGAAGGAUCAUUAUUGAAUAAACCUGAUGUGGUUGUAGCUGACUCUCCGGAGUAUGUGCACACCCGUCAUCUUUAUAUUUCCACCUGUGAACACACUGUAGUCCUGGAUACCUCUCGCCGCAAGGCGGAUGCGGAGUUUGCGCAAGCUUACUCUGAAUUUCCAGGUCUAUGAUUUUACAAACCCCAAUUGAAUGUUACAGAAUGUUAUCAUCAGGCCUUGUGCCUAUAAAUUAUACAACUUUCAGCAACGGAUCUCUUGGCUCUCGCAUCGAUGAAGAACGCAGCGAAAUGCGAUAAGUAAUGUGAAUUGCAGAAUUCAGUGAAUCAUCGAAUCUUUGAACGCACCUUGCGCUCCUUGGUAUUCCGAGGAGCAUGCCUGUUUGAGUGUCAUUAAAUUCUCAACCUCACCAAUUUUGUUAUGAAAUUGUGUGUAGGCUUGGAUGUGGGGGUUGCAGGUCCACUUUGUGGUCUGCUCCUCUGAAAUGUAUUAGUGGGUUUGGCCCCUAAUCUAUUGGUGUGAUAAUUAUCUACGCCGUGGAUUGGAUGGCUAUUUGAGACCUGCUUCUAACCGUCCUUCACAGGACAACUCUUGACAUUUUUGACCUCAAAUCAGGAAAGACUACCCGCUGAACUUAAG